CUGAGCUGGAGGAAAAGGUGCUGUCCCGGCUGGCCGAAAAGGUGAAAGCCUAUGCUCUGAUGGAGGAGGCUGAGGAGCUGCUCCAGGAUGGAGAAGAGGACUCCAGUGUCACUGUCCAGAAGAGAGCCUGCAACACUGCUACCUGCCUGCUCCACAGGAUGGUGGAGACAGUGAGCGCCAACCAAAAUGGGGGAAGGAACUACCUGCUGCCCUUCAACAUGGGCUUCAGGGUGUUUGGUGGACGCCGCAAGUUCCGUAAGAACUGAGCAGUGACGUGACUCCAGGAAGGUCCCCAACUGAAAUCUACUUUCAAUUUAAAACAACAGCAUGCAUGAAACUUAAAUUCAUCCUUCCUGGUAUUGAAGCCUCCCUUUCUCUCUGAAAUAAAUAAAAUCUAAAGGCAAAAUAAAAGUGAAUGCAAUGAUCUUGUGUGCCUCUCUCUUUUAUAUACUCGGUUCGGUAUUGCGUCAGUAUAAUGACA